UACGUAGGGGGCAAGCGUUGUCCGGAAUUACUGGGCGUAAAGCGCGUGUAGGCGGGACGGCAAGUCGGACGUGAAAGGCUCGGGCUCAACCCGAGAUGGCCGUUCGAAACUGCCGUUCUUGAGGGUCGAAGAGGAGAGUGGAAUUCCUAGUGUAGAGGUGAAAUUCGUAGAUAUUAGGAAGAACACCAGUGGCGAAGGCGGCUCACUGGUCCGGUACUGACGCUGAGGUGCGAAAGCGUGGGGAGCAAACAGG
rnacentral:rRNA from 1 species